GAUGAACGCUGGCGGCGUGCUUAACACAUGCAAGUCGAACGGAGUUGUUUCGCUGACGAGGCUUCGGCCAAAUCUUGAAACAACUUAGUGGCGGACGGGUGAGUAACGCGUGGGUAACCUGCCAUAUACAGGGGGAUAACACUUAGAAAUAGGUGCUAAUACCGCAUAAGCGCACGGAGCUGCAUGGCUCAGUGUGAAAAACUCCGGUGGUAUAUGAUGGACCCGCGUCUGAUUAGCUAGUUGGUGAGGUAACGGCUCACCAAGGCGACGAUCAGUAGCCGGCCUGAGAGGGUGAACGGCCACAUUGGGACUGAGACACGGCCCAAACUCCUACGGGAGGCAGCAGUGGGGGAAUAUUGCACAAUGGGGGAAACCCUGAUGCAGCGACGCCGCGUGAGUGAAGAAGUAUUUCGGUAUGUAAAGCUCUAUCAGCAAGGAAGAAAAUGACGGUACUUGACUAAGAAGCCCCGGCUAACUACGUGCCAGCAGCCGACGG
rnacentral:rRNA from 1 species